CAUAGGUUAAUGAGGCGAACCGGGGGAACUGAAACAUCUAAGUACCCCGAGGAAAAGAAAUCAACCGAGAUUCCCCCAGUAGCGGCGAGCGAACGGGGAGGAGCCCAGAGCCUGAAUCAGUGUGUGUGUUAGUGGAAGCGUCUGGAAAGGCGCGCGAUACAGGGUGACAGCCCCGUACACAAAAAUGCACAUGCUGUGAGCUCGAUGAGUAGGGCGGGACACGUGGUAUCCUGUCUGAAUAUGGGGGGACCAUCCUCCAAGGCUAAAUACUCCUGACUGACCGAUAGUGAACCAGUACCGUGAGGGAAAGGCGAAAAGAACCCCGGCGAGGGGAGUGAAAAAGAACCUGAAACCGUGUACGUACAAGCAGUGGGAGCACGCUUAGGCGUGUGACUGCGUACCUUUUGUAUAAUGGGUCAGCGACUUAUAUUCUGUAGCAAGGUUAACCGAAUAGGGGAGCCGAAGGGAAACCGAGUCUUAACUGGGCGUUAAGUUGCAGGGUAUAGACCCGAAACCCGGUGAUCUAGCCAUGGGCAGGUUGAAGGUUGGGUAACACUAACUGGAGGACCGAACCGACUAAUGUUGAAAAAUUAGCGGAUGACUUGUGGCUGGGGGUGAAAGGCCAAUCAAACCGGGAGAUAGCUGGUUCUCCCCGAAAGCUAUUUAGGUAGCGCCUCGUGAAUUCAUCUCCGGGGGUAGAGCACUGUUUCGGCAAGGGGGUCAUCCCGACUUACCAACCCGAUGCAAACUGCGAAUACCGGAGAAUGUUAUCACGGGAGACACACGGCGGGUGCUAACGUCCGUCGUGAAGAGGGAAACAACCCAGACCGCCAGCUAAGGUCCCAAAGUCAUGGUUAAGUGGGAAACGAUGUGGGAAGGCCCAGACAGCCAGGAUGUUGGCUUAGAAGCAGCCAUCAUUUAAAGAAAGCGUAAUAGCUCACUGGUCGAGUCGGCCUGCGCGGAAGAUGUAACGGGGCUAAACCAUGCACCGAAGCUGCGGCAGCGACACUAUGUGUUGUUGGGUAGGGGAGCGUUCUGUAAGCCUGUGAAGGUGUGCUGUGAGGCAUGCUGGAGGUAUCAGAAGUGCGAAUGCUGACAUAAGUAACGAUAAAGCGGGUGAAAAGCCCGCUCGCCGGAAGACCAAGGGUUCCUGUCCAACGUUAAUCGGGGCAGGGUGAGUCGACCCCUAAGGCGAGGCCGAAAGGCGUAGUCGAUGGGAAACAGGUUAAUAUUCCUGUACUUGGUGUUACUGCGAAGGGGGGACGGAGAAGGCUAUGUUGGCCGGGCGACGGUUGUCCCGGUUUAAGCGUGUAGGCUGGUUUUCCAGGCAAAUCCGGAAAAUCAAGGCUGAGGCGUGAUGACGAGGCACUACGGUGCUGAAGCAACAAAUGCCCUGCUUCCAGGAAAAGCCUCUAAGCAUCAGGUAACAUCAAAUCGUACCCCAAACCGACACAGGUGGUCAGGUAGAGAAUACCAAGGCGCUUGAGAGAACUCGGGUGAAGGAACUAGGCAAAAUGGUGCCGUAACUUCGGGAGAAGG
rnacentral:rRNA from 1 species